AAAUAGAUACCCAGGUAGUCCAUGCCGUAAACGGUGGGCGCUAGGUGUGGGGUUCCUUCCACGGGCUCCGCGCCGUAGCUAACGCAUUAAGCGCCCCGCCUGGGGAGUACGGCCGCAAGGCUAAAAACUCAAAGAAAUUGACGGGGGCCCGCACAAGCGGCGGAGCAUGUGGAUUAAUUCGAUGCAACGCGAAGAACCUUACCUGGGCUUGACAUAUAGAGGAUCGCUACAGAGAUGUGGUUUCCCUUGUGGCUUCUAUACAGGUGGUGCAUGGUUGUCGUCAGCUCGUGUCGUGAGAUGUUGGGUUAAGUCCCGCAACGAGCGCAACCCUUGUCUUAUGUUGCCAGCACGUUAUGGUGGGGACUCGUGAGAGACUGCCGGGGUCAACUCGGAGGAAGGUGGGGAUGACGUCAAAUCAUCAUGCCCCUUAUGUCCAGGGCUUCACACAUGCUACAAUGGCCGGUACAGAGGGCUGCGAUGCCGUGAGGCGGAGCGAAUCUCUUAAAGCCGGUCUCAGUUCGGAUUGGGGUC
rnacentral:rRNA from 1 species